GACAGAGGUGCCGAGCGUUAGGCGGAAUCACUGGGCUUAAAGCGUGUGUAGGCGGAGUGCUAAGUACCUUGUGAAAUCCCACGGCUUAACCGUGGAACUGCUUGGUAUACUGGUUCUCUUGGGCCAUCUAGGGGCGAGCGGAACAAACGGUGGAGCGGUGAAAUGCGUAGAUAUCGUUUGGAACGCCAAUGGUGAAAACAGCUCGCUGGGGAUGCACCGACGCUGAGACACGAAAGCCAGGGGAGCGAACGGG
rnacentral:rRNA from 1 species